rnacentral:rRNA from 1 species
UACGUAGGGUGCGAGCGUUGCCCGGAUUUAUUGGGCGUAAAGGGCGCGCAGGCGGCCACGCACGUCCGUUGUGAAAUCGCCCGGCUCAACUGGGCGGGGUCAGCGGAUACGGCGCGGCUGGAGCAAGCUAGGGGGCAAUGGAACUCCCGGUGUAGUGGUGGAAUGCGUAGAUAUCGGGAAGAACACCAGUGGCGAAGGCGGUUGCCUGGAGCUUUGCUGACGCUGAGGCGCGAAAGCCAGGGGAGCAAACGGG